UACCAGCACCCCGAGUGGUCGGGACGAUUAUUGGGCCUAAAGCAUCCGUAGCCGGUUUUACAAGUCCUCCGUUAAAUCCAACUGCUUAACAGAUGGGCCGCGGAGGAUACUACAAGACUAGGAGGCAGGAGAGGAAAGCGGUACUCAGUGGGUGGGGGUAAAAUCCGUUGAUCCAUUGAAGACCACCAGUGGCGAAGGCGGCUUGCCAGAAUGCGCUCGACGGUGAGGGAUGAAAGCUGGGGGAGCAAACCGG
rnacentral:rRNA from 1 species